AAGCGCUUGUGACCAGACUUGGGCGCGGCGGAUCAUCCGGGGUUCUCUCCGGUGCACUUCGCCGCGUCUAGGCCAGCAUCAGUUCGUCGCGGGGGAAAAAGGUUUCGGGAACGUGGCUCCUCCGGGAGUGUUAUAGCCUAUUGUAUAAUACC
rnacentral:rRNA from 1 species